AUCAAUUCAUUUGAAGUAAAAAAAUUCCAUUAUACUUUAUUUUGACCAUAUGAUCAACACUUGUACAUAGUGCCAUUUACUUUGUGUUCUUCACUCUCGCGUUGUGUUUUGAUCGUUCGAAACUCAUUGCCAGAACGAAUGCAAAUUUCAUUUGGGAAGGAUCGGUGCCGGAAGAUGCAGUGAAAAUUAUAAAUAGUUUAUAGAAAAGUGGUUAAGUAAAUCGUGAAAGAUGUCAACGCAGGCGUAAAUGCAGUUUGUUUUGUCACUUGAUCUACGGCAAUUUCAUUACCAAAGCACCUGAUAACCGAUCAAAGAAGGUGAAUCGGGCAUACAGAGUCGCCGUUUAACUUCAAAUAUCUUCGUGAUCGGAAAACGCAUCAAACAGCAAGUGUUUUUCUUCCAACAGCACGCGCCAUCGGUGGAGCAAGCAGCCAACGAUUUGAUCGCCAGUACGCGCCAUCAAGAAUUGAUAUUUUGCCAAACAGUACUGUGAAUAAAAA